rnacentral:rRNA from 1 species
UACAGAGGGUGCAAGCGUUGUUCAGAAUUAUUGGGCGUAAAGGGCGCGUAGGCGGUGCGGUAAGUCACCUGUGAAAUCUCUGGGCUCAACUCAGAGUCUGCAGGCGAAACUGCCGUGCUUGAGUGUGGGAGAGGUGAGUGGAAUUCCCAGUGUAGAGGGUGAAAUUCGUAGAUAUUGGGAAGAACACCAGUGGCGAAGGCGGCUCGACUGGCCCGGUACGUCGACGCUGAGGUGCG